rnacentral:rRNA from 1 species
GGGAACAUACCCUUUUCUACGGAAUAGCUCUGGGAAACUGGAAUUAAUACCGUAUACGCCCUACGGGGGAAAGAUUUAUCGGGGAAGGAUUGGCCCGCGUUGGAUUAGCUAGUUGGUGGGGUAAAGGCCUACCAAGGCGACGAUCCAUAGCUGGUCUGAGAGGAUGAUCAGCCACAUUGGGACUGAGACACGGCCCAAACUCCUACGGGAGGCAGCAGUGGGGAAUAUUGGACAAUGGGCGCAAGCCUGCUCCAGCCAUGCCGCGUGAGUGAUGAAGGCCUUAGGGUUGUAAAGCUCUUUCACCGAUGAAGAUAAUGACGGUAGUCGGAGAAGAAGCCCCGGCUAACUUCGUGCCAGCAGCCGCGGUAAUACGAAGGGGGCUAGCGUUGUUCGGAAUUACUGGGCGUAAAGCGCACGUAGGCGGAUAUUUAAGUCAGGGGUGAAAUCCCAGAGCUCAACUCUGGAACUGCCUUUGAUACUGGGUAUCUUGAGUAUGGAAGAGGUAAGUGGAAUUGCGAGU